UUUUUUACUGCCAAGCCAUUCCUGCAAGUUUACAGAAACACUACUCAUAACUGCAGGAAAGUGCACUCUGGAUAUGUUAUUGAAUGUAAUUAGCCCGGCAGAUCGUGAAACUUGCCGGCAAAUAUUUUGAUCCAAGGAGAAUCAACUGCAACUUGGUGUAGAUUUACAUAGCUGUUGCAACUUGAAAUUAACUAUGCGGCUACAGAGACGAUAAGGACUGCGGCGAAUACUAAGACAGGAAGGGAAAAAGGAG
rnacentral:lncRNA from 1 species